rnacentral:rRNA from 1 species
UUUGUUACUUCAAACCAAUCGGACUUCGGUCUGACAUCAAGUGAUAUUGAACAAUUUAGCUGAUCGCACGGUCUAAGAACCGGCGACAUAUCCUUCAAAUGUCUGCCUUAUCAACUUUCGAUGGUAGAUUAUGCGCCUACCAUGGUUGUAACGGGUAACGGAGAAUCAGGGUUUGAUUCCGGAGAGGGAGCCUGAGAAACGGCUACCACAUCCAAGGAAGGCAGCAGGCACGCAAAUUACCCACUCCCGGCACGGGGAGGUAGUGACGAAAAAUAACAAGCUGGUCUCAAUGAGUUCCAGCAUUGUAAUGGGAACAAUUUAAAUCUUUUAUCGAGGAUCUAUUGGAGGGCAAGUCUGGUGCCAGCAGCCGCGGUAAUUCCAGCUCCAAUAGCGUAUAUUAAAGUCGUUGCGGUUAAAAAGCUCGUAGUUGGAUCUAGGAUUAGGGCUACGGUCGUUCAGCUUGGACGUACUGUAUGCCCGACUCCUUUUCUCUAGUAUUCGAUUGUUGCUCUUAAAUGAGUGACUUUAGUUGCUGGAACUUUUACCUUGAAAAAAUUGAAGUGCUCAAAGCAGGUU